CGCACAUUGCGCCCAUUAGUAUUCUAGUGGGCAUGCCUGUUCGAGCGUCAUUUCGACCCUUAAGCCACUGUUGCUUAGCGUUGGGAGCCUGCGUUGUGGCAGCUCCCCAAAGUUAGCUGGCGGAGCUGGGACAUGCCCUGAGCGUAGUAAAUCUUCUCGCUUCCUGUGGCUGUCCCUGCUGCGGCCAUUAAAACCCCCUAUUUUCCAAAGGUUGACCUCGGAUCAGGUAGGAAUACCCGCUGAACUUAA
rnacentral:misc_RNA from 1 species